rnacentral:lncRNA from 1 species
CAGAUAGUGAUCUCAUGGUGCUGCGGGUGACAGUCAUGGUGGUAGCACUGUGCCCAGUUCAAAUAAGGGAGAUGUCAACAUAGUCUGGCCAAGUGACCAAAACUUGACCCGGAGGCACAGUGAUGUCAACAACUCAGGAGGCCUGACAGCUUAGUGGAUAACAUCCACUUCUCCCUCAGUGUCUAGUCACUGAGUGAAGCCUUGGGAGCCACCACAGCAGACAUGCACAGACGAGAAGAAAACAAGUCAUGCCUUAGCUUUGUUAUGACAACUCUUCUGACUUCAUCCCUUCAAAUGGCUGCAGAGAGUAAUAAAUGGUUUAAAAAUGAAA